AACGAACGCUGGCGGCAGGCUUAACACAUGCAAGUCGAACGCAUCGCAAGAUGAGUGGCAGACGGGUGAGUAACGCGUGGGAAUCUACCCAUCUCUGCGGAAUAGCUCUGGGAAACUGGAAUUAAUACCGCAUACGCCCUACGGGGGAAAGAUUUAUCGGGGAUGGAUGAGCCCGCGUUGGAUUAGCUAGUUGGUGGGGUAAAGGCCUACCAAGGCGACGAUCCAUAGCUGGUCUGAGAGGAUGAUCAGCCACAUUGGGACUGAGACACGGCCCAAACUCCUACGGGAGGCAGCAGUGGGGAAUAUUGGACAAUGGGCGCAAGCCUGAUCCAGCCAUGCCGCGUGAGUGAUGAAGGCCUUGGGGUUGUAAAGCUCUUCCACCGAUGAAGAUAAUGACGGUAGUCGGAGAAGAAGCCCCGGCUAACUUCGUGCCAGCCGCCGCAGUAA
rnacentral:rRNA from 1 species